rnacentral:rRNA from 1 species
UACGUAGGGGGCUAGCGUUGUCCGGAUUUAUUGGGCGUAAAGAGCUCGUAGGCGGUCUGUCGCGUCUGCUGUGAAAACUCGGGGCUUAACCCCGGGCCUGCAGUGGGUACGGGCAGACUAGAGUGCGGUAGGGGAGACUGGAAUUCCUGGUGUAGCGGUGAAAUGCGCAGAUAUCAGGAGGAACACCGGUGGCGAAGGCGGGUCUCUGGGCCGUAACUGACGCUGAGGAGCGAAAGCAUGGGGAGCGAACAGG